AUGCUUACAUUAUAAAAAAAAUAAAGUUUUAAAAAUCAUUGACCUAUGUUUUGCGGUUCACAAUCUAGGGGGCAAAAGAGCAAAUUAAGUUUUAGCUAACAGGAAUUUAAUUCUAAAUACGAGUCAAAACCAAUGAAAUAGACAGCAAAUAAAUACUAAAAAUCCGCAAAGUCAAAAGUUGUUUCUUUGGAGUUCCUGUCGUGGCUCAGCAGUUAAUGAAUCUGACUAGCAUCCAGGAGGACUCAGGGUUGAUCCCUGACCUUACUCAGUGGGUUAAGGAUCCGGCGUUGCCGUGAGCCCUGGUGUGAGUCGCAGAUGCAGAUUGGAUCCUGCACUGCUGUGGCCCUGGUGUGGGCUGGAAGCCAAAAGUUGUUUCUUUGAAAAAAUAAUGAAACGUAUAAAUCCCUAGCUCAAUCGAUAGAGAAAAGAGAGGAAAAAAACCCACGAUUUAUCACUAUCGAGAAUGAAAAGAGAGCAUUGUUAUAGAUGUUACAGAUGGGAGUUCCCGUCGUGAUGCAGUGGAAAUGAAUCCAACUAGGAACCAUGAGGUUGGGGGUUUGAUCCCUGGCCUCGCUCAGUGGGUUAAGGAUCCGUAGAGGCUGAUUCUCGAACAAGAUGCUUCUGGAUUGCCAGCAUCAUGGGUCCACUUGCUGGGGUGGUAUCCCUGACAUCGGGGGCGGGGGGUGUGAGUGCUGCUGAUGCUGGAAAAGUGAGGGUAGAGGAAGGAGCCGGGGCCCAAAAGGGUGUGGAAUGGAAAUCUCUGCUCGGCUACUUAGCAGCUGCAAGUGUCUGAUCAUUCCCCGUGUGUCACCUGCCCCAGGAGGAGGAGGGAUGGAGGGAGCUGAAGGUCUCAGCACCACACACAGGGACACUGGUCAGAUCAGCCCUGAACAUGGCUCAUGCUGACCCAGCCACAUCUCUCCCCUGGCCCCUGGGGACCAGGACAGCUAGCCAGGAGGGUCCCAAGAACACCUCCCUCCUUUGCUCUGGUCCCAUACCCACAUCUGGUGCAGGACCCAGCCACAAACCUGAGAGCCACCAUCAACUCUUACAAGGAAGGGACUCCUCCAUUUGGAAUAAUGUCCACGUCUUUACCCCACGUGCUCCUCCCCACGAGGAAAGCCCUUCCGCCCAUCUUCACAACCACCUCCUAAGACCCCGGGGUGAGAACUGCAUGCCCACUUCACAGAACGAAAACUGCUUGCCAGAGGGAAGUAGACACUUGUCCAAGGACCCACAGGAAUGGGCACCUCUGGGACUCCAGACCUGCCCCAGUCUUUGUCCCCCAAGUCUGGGCACCUGAUGUGCAGGACUGUGGCACACGCCGGAGGCUUAGCUGGGGCUUUGGGCCAAAUAAAGGAUACUUGUAAAUAUCCCUGGAGCCAGGUGGGGCCAGUAAAAUGUUAAACAAAUGAGGGCUAUCUCUUGGAAUCUAUAGGUCAUUUCCUGGAGUCCCAGCCAAGCAGGCGUGAUGGAGGGGCGGGGUUCCCCCUUCUGCUGUAAAGGAGCAACCAGCAGCCCUUGGGGUGGUGAGCUUCUAGGGAUGGGCCUUUCGUUUCCUCUUCAAACCUGUGUAAACAUCUAAAGGAUGACCUAGGGCAAGAGCGGUGUUUCUCAGGAGGAUGCAGCGAGACCAAGAAGGAGCUGGAAGGCAGCUUGUUCCUUGAGGGGUGGAUGGUGCUGAUGAGAAGCGGGGGUGCUGAGUAGAAGCUCUGAGCCGAGGUUUUCCCACUGUCUCUCCAGUUCCUGCCCCCCGCCCCCUGUUUCCCAGGGGCUCCUGUUGCUAGAUGCCUCCUGAAUUUCACUUCUUUUUUUUUUUUUUUUUUUU
rnacentral:lncRNA from 1 species